UUUUUCCUUUAAGUCGCUCUUAAAUUGCCCUAAAUCGCUUCUAAAUCGUCCUUCAAAUUGUCUUGAACCGUUAUUUUUUGAACUAUCCUUUAAAUCGUUUUAAAUCUAAACUCGAAUCAAAACCGGCGAUUCAAAAAUCGUCUUUCAAAUCGUACAAUAACAAUUUAAUUCAAGUUCAUAAUUUUAUUGAAUCUGAACCACGAUUCAAAAAUCGUAAUUGACGAUUCCUG
rnacentral:misc_RNA from 1 species